CAACUACUCCCUCCGUCCGGAAUUACUUGUCAUCAAAAUGGAUGUGUCUAGAACUAAAAUACAUCUAGAUACAUCCAUUUCAAUGACAAGUAUUUUCGGACGGAGGGAGUACAAG
rnacentral:pre_miRNA from 1 species